GACGAACCGAGCGAACGUUAUUCGGAAUCACUGGGCUUAAAGGGCGCGUAGGCGGGCCGUCAAGUCGAGGGUGAAAUCCCCCAGCUCAACUGGGGAAGUGCCUCCGAUACUGGCGGCCUCGAGGGGAUAGGGCAUGCGGAACUUCCGGUGGAGCGGUGAAAUGCGUAGAUAUCGGAAGGAACACCGGUGGCGAAAGCGGCGUGCUGGAUCCCUUCUGACGCUGAGCGCGAAGCCAGGGAG
rnacentral:rRNA from 1 species